rnacentral:snoRNA from 1 species
UUUAAAAUGUGCCACGUUGCACAUCGUUUGAAAUACUUCAUAGAGUAAUUGGUUUUACUUUACUCACAGGACUAUCUCUUAGGACUGCGGGAAGGACCUGUAAGACAGUU